ACCUACCCUUGACAUCUACAGAAGCCGGAAGAGAUUCUGGUGUGCCUUCGGGAACUGUAAGACAGGUGCUGCAUGGCUGUCGUCAGCUCGUGUUGUGAAAUGUUGGGUUAAGUCCCGUAACGAGCGCAACCCUUGUCCUUAUUUGCCAGCGAGUAAUGUCGGGAACUCUAAGGAGACUGCCGGUGACAAACCGGAGGAAGGUGGGGACGACGUCAAGUCAUCAUGGCCCUUACGGGUAGGGCUACACACGUGCUACAAUGGCCGGUACAAAGGGCUGCGAGCUCGCGAGAGUCAGCGAAUCCCUUAAAGCCGGUCUCAGUCCGGAUCGGAGUCUGCAACUCGACUCCGUGAAGUCGGAAUCGCUAGUAAUCGUGAAUCAUAAUGUCACGGUGAAUACGUUCCCGGGCCUUGUACACACCGCCCGU
rnacentral:rRNA from 1 species